UUUGAUUCUGCUCCAAUGACUCCAUCUCAUCAUCCAUGGCCAACUCCCACUCCUUCCUGGUAUCAACCUCCAAUGCCUCCAUGAAGCAUUCAGGUUCGCCAUUAUCUGUGAGCAGCAAAUAACUAAGAGUCCCAUCAUACCUUUGAGGAGGCUUCCCAUGAGUACUACGAGUGGACCUUCUUAGUUGUGGAGGGGGUGCCAAUGCUUCAGGUUCUUGCUCUGA
rnacentral:lncRNA from 1 species